CCCUUAGAUGUUCUGGGCUGCACGCGCGCUACACUGACACACUCAACGAGUUCCUAGCUUGAAAGGGUUGGGUAAUCAUUUGAGCGUGUGUCGUGAUGGGGAUAGAAUAUUGUAAUUAUUGCUCUUUAACGAGGAAUUCCUAGUAGGCGUACGUUAUCAGCGUGCGUCGAUUACGUCCCUGCCCUUUGUACACACCGCCCGUCGCUCCUACCGAUUGGGUGAUCCGGUGAAUGAUUCGGACUCUGGUGCUUCUAGCUGCUAGAUGCGCCGGAGGAAGUUUUGUGAACCUUAUCACUUGGAGGAAGGAGAAGUCGUAACA
rnacentral:rRNA from 1 species